UUCCCCAUAAUCACGCUCCCAAAAAGUAAUUUAUACCUCCGUUUUAGUUGCUGUUUUCAUUUCAAUCGCUGCCCCCUUUGUGGGUUUUUUCCGCAGAUGUGAAAUUAGGGACGUAUGUUGCGCUGUUGUACGUUUAUUAGUUUUGCUUUCGCUUGUUUUGGAAGGGAUUUUAGCUAUUGAGUUUACAUGCACACCAGCUUACAGAUUGGGAGGAAUGACAUUUGAGAAAAUAUUAAAGACUCGAAUCAAGUCAAGCCACAGGUAGAGCCGAGGUUGACUUGAAAUUGUCAACCAAAGAGCAUGAAGACUCAAUUUCAGAAGAGGCUCAUAUUGUAGAGGUUAAACCAGGAGCUGUUUGUGUGUAUAGGGAUCCAGAUGGGAAAAACGGUUAAGUCAUCAGUCAACAUCCGAUCAAAAACAGGGUACUCUGUUUUGGUCAUCAGCGCCGCCUUGAAACGACUGCGUUUUAGGGUUAGAUAAUUUCAACAAUUAUUACAAUCCUACCCUCAAAAGGGCUCGUCAACAAUUGUUUGUAAAAAGUGGGAUUUUUAUUGUGGAAGGGGGCAUAAAUGAUGCUGUUUUGCUGAACAAACUCUUUGAGGUACUACAUGGGAAUAUUGCUGGUGUUGUUAGUAUUCUUGAAGUCUGUAAAAAUGCAAACCCA